GAAAAUUAAACUGUAUAAGGUGUUUUAUUGACUUAAUAGAGAAUUGGGUGAAAAUCCCAAACUAUCCCAGUAACCGUGAAACUGACGAAAUUCUUAAAUAUACCACUGUAAAAUCCGGGAAGGUGAGAAAAGUAGGAUGAAGUAAAGUCGGGAGACCUGCCAUAUAUGGAAUUUAUAU
rnacentral:ncRNA from 2 species